rnacentral:rRNA from 1 species
ACUUAAAUUGAAGAGUUUGAUCAUGGCUCAGAUUGAACGCUGGCGGCAGGCCUAACACAUGCAAGUCGAACGGUAGCACAGAGGAGCUUGCUCCUUGGGUGACGAGUGGCGGACGGGUGAGUAAUGUCUGGGAAACUGCCCGAUGGAGGGGGGUAACUACUGGAAACGGUAGCUAAUACCGCAUAACGUCGCAAGACCAAAGAGGGGGACCUUCGGGCCUCUUGCCAUCGGAUGUGCCCAGAUGGGAUUAGCUAGUAGGUGGGGUAACGGCUCACCUAGGCGACGAUCCCUAGCUGGUCUGAGAGGAUGACCAGCCACACUGGAACUGAGACACGGUCCAGACUCCUACGGGAGGCAGCAGUGGGGAAUAUUGCACAAUGGGCGCAAGCCUGAUGCAGCCAUGCCGCGUGUAUGAAGAAGGCCUUCGGGUUGUAAAGUACUUUCAGCGAGGAGGAAGGCGUUGAGGUUAAUAACCGCAGCGAUUGACGUUACUCGCAGAAGAAGCACCGGCUAACUCCGUGCCAGCAGCCGCGGUAAUACGGAGGGUGCAAGCGUUAAUCGGAAUUACUGGGCGUAAAGCGCACGCAGGCGGUCUGUCAAGUCGGA